rnacentral:rRNA from 1 species
AUUGAACGCUGGCGGCAUGCUUUACACAUGCAAGUCGAACGGCAGCGCGGGCUUCGGCCUGGCGGCGAGUGGCGAACGGGUGAGUAAUAUAUCGGAACGUACCCAAGAGUGGGGGAUAACGUAGCGAAAGUUACGCUAAUACCGCAUACGAUCUAAGGAUGAAAGCAGGGGAUCGCAAGACCUUGUGCUCCUGGAGCGGCCGAUAUCUGAUUAGCUAGUUGGUGAGGUAAAGGCUCACCAAGGCAACGAUCAGUAGCUGGUCUGAGAGGACGACCAGCCACACUGGAACUGAGACACGGUCCAGACUCCUACGGGAGGCAGCAGUGGGGAAUUUUGGACAAUGGGGGCAACCCUGAUCCAGCAAUGCCGCGUGAGUGAAGAAGGCCUUCGGGUUGUAAAGCUCUUUUGUCAGGGAAGAAAAGGCUGUGGCUAAUAUCCACAGCUGCUGACGGUACCUGAAGAAUAAGCACCGGCUAACUACGUGCCAGCAGCCGCCGUAACAC